rnacentral:rRNA from 1 species
ACGUAGGUGGCAAGCGUUGUCCGGAAUUAUUGGGCGUAAAGGGUGCGCAGGCGGUCUCUUAAGUCUGUCUUAAAAGUGCGGGGCUUAACCCCGUGAGGGGACGGAAACUGGGAGACUGGAGUAUCGGAGAGGAAAGCAGAAUUCCUAGUGUAGCGGUGAAAUGCGUAGAUAUUAGGAGGAAUACCAGUGGCGAAAGCGGCUUUCUGGACGAUAACUGACGCUGAGGCACGAAAGCCAGGGGAGCGAACGG